GCCAGCAGCCACAUCACCCUGCAGCCCCCAGCUGGCAGCCCCCCUGGAGCUCAGCAGGUGUGAGCCUGGCCAGUACCUGGAUGGGAGACUCCUGGGAAAAACUAAGGCUGCUGCUGGAA
rnacentral:rRNA from 1 species